UACGUAGGUGGCAAGCGUUGUCCGGAUUUAUUGGGUUUAAAGGGUGCGUAGGCGGUCUUUUAAGUCAGUGCUGAAAUAUCCCGGCUUAACCGGGAGGGUGGCAUUGAUACUGAAGGACUUGAGUUCAGUCGAGGUAGGCGGAAUUGACGGUGUAGCGGUGAAAUGCUUAGAUAUCGUCAAGAACACCGAUAGUGUAGACAGCUUACUAGGCUGAAACUGACGCUGAGGCACGAAAAGUGUGGGGAUCAAAACAGG
rnacentral:rRNA from 1 species